AAUGCUGAUGUCACACCCUUUUUUCCUUAAAUUAGUAAUAAUGGAAUAGUGCCAUUCCAUGGCCGCCUCAAGAUUGCCGCACCCUUUAUCCCCUUUUUCAAAUAUCCUAUAAUUGCCAACAAAUAAUUGGCUUUCUGUUAUAUUUACCAGUGCUUUCCUUUUCAAUUUGGGGUAUAAUUGGUCAACUUUAAUCCUUUUUAAAUUUUCCAGCAACCUUACCACUAGCACAUGUGAGUUCAAAAUAAUAAUUCUUUUCCAUUAAAACCCAACCAUGUCAGUACACAUCAAUUUUCAAGUCCAAAUAGGCAUAGGAUGCUUCCACCGCCUCUACUGUAAUCAUUUUUUUUUGAAGGAAAAUAUUACUCCCAAUUUUAUUCCAUUAAGGAGGAUGGAUCUAUCCGUCUCUAUAAAAAGACCUCUUUGGUCAUCAAUUUGCACAGAUACUUGAGGUAUUCAGCAGCUUUGCAUCGAAUCAAAAAUCGGCAGCAAGAUGGUGGAUAUCGGCAUAAUGUGCGAGAGUUAACUUUAUCUUCGUCAUCUUAAGAUCAAAAGAUUUUGCUUGAAAAUGGUGGACAUCAGCUUAAGGUGUGAGAGUUUAACUUUGCAUUCGUCACCUUAAGACCGAAAGAUUUUACUUGAAGAAGGUGGAUAUCGGCUUAAGGUGUGAGAGUUUAACUUCGCCUCGUUACCUUAAGACAGAAAGAUUUUGCUUGAAGACGGUGGACAUCGGCUUAAGGUGCGGGAGUUUAACUUUACCUUCGUCACCUUUAAAACUGAAAGAUUUUGCUUGAAGAUGGUAGACAUCGGCUUAAGUUUGCAGAGAUGGUUCACUUUAGAGACUACAUAUCUUCAUCCUCUAAAAGAAAGUAUCUCCUAAUUGAGGCCGAUGAUGGUACAGUUUUAACUAGGCUAUUGGUUGAAACUCCAAUAGUAGACAGGUAAGCAGAUCUGUGGCCACCUUUGCAAAAUUCUCUCUAUAUGUCAUAUUGGACUUUAGAACAUGACAUUAGUGCUAAUCGAUCGAUUAAAGUAUGGCUUCUUCAAACUCUCAACCAACGUCAAUUAAACAUUGCAAGCACCCUUUCUUGGUUAGGACGUCGGGUACUCAAAGAAGAAAUACGUUGGGGGGAACUAUGGAGAUAACUGGUGAAUAUCGUAAUACUCAAGGAUAUUGGGAAUGGGCUAAGGACAUAUUGGCUAGAAAUGCACAAAUCUUGAAGGCAAUAAAAAUAUAUGAUGCCGAUUAUGCUUCACUGUUUACCUAUGAUUGAAACUCAAACAUAUUACAUACAUUCUUUGAGGCUUGGUGUCCAACUACCAACACAUUGCUUACUUCAAUUAGAGAUCUAUCCAUAUCCCUUUGGGAUUUAUACAAAAUUGAAGGUUUAUUUAUCGAAGGUCUUCCUUAUGAAGAAGUAGCGCCCGAAGUGAAAGAGCUUACAGGUGUUGGUGAAAAGAAUGAGAGAUUUAUCCCUCGUUCUUGUGAAUUCUUGUUUGUAGUUUUCCAACAUCUUCAGCAAGGAGAUGCUUCUAAUUCGAGAGUUCCUAUAAGUAAGUUGAUAAAGUUUUGGUGCAAAAGGGUAUUAAGAUACAAGUCAGCUCUACUGAGGAAGGAGAAAAAAUAUGCUCGCUUGAAGUCAACCUGUAAUGCCCUGUACUUUUCCUAGCUAAUUUCAUCUCAAGAAUGUCUAGUAGUAGCUUUUAAAUUGAAUGAUGAUUAUUCUAUGAGAAAUUUUUAAGGUUUUCACUGUUUGU